UUUUGGAAACGAAAGAUAAUACCGCAUGUAGAUCUUAUUAUCACAUGAGAAAAGAUCAAAAGAACCGUUUGGUUCACUAUGAGAUGGGGAUGCGGCGUAUUAGCUAGUAGGUGAGAUAAUAGCCCACCUAGGCGAUGAUACGUAGCCGAACUGAGAGGUUGAUCGGCCACAUUGGGACUGAGAUACGGCCCAGACUCCUACGGGAGGCAGCAGUAGGGAAUUUUUCACAAUGGACGAAAGUCUGAUGAAGCAAUGCCGCGUGAGUGAUGACGGCCUUCGGGUUGUAAAGCUCUGUUGUAAGGGAAGAAAAAAUAAAGUAGGAAAUGACUUUAUCUUGACAGUACCUUACCAGAAAGCCACGG
rnacentral:rRNA from 1 species